CACCUCGAGAGCACUUUGAAAAGACAUGUUCACUGUUGCUACAACAUCUAUUCCCACUUGCUUUGGUUUUGCAAUGAUUUUCCUGAAAAUUACAACAGCAUUUAAUACAUUAAUUUCACCUGGUAUGUAGCCCCUGGCCAAAGCCACAUUUCCCUUCCUCAUAUCCUCCAGAAAUGUGACCCAUGAAUUCUUCCAUUGGAAGAGUUCUCCCGUUUCUGGACAAUGGAAAGUAAAGCUUACCUAUUUCUUUCUGCUGCUUUCCUGUGAAGAAAAGAAAGAAAUGCAAAUAAGUUAGAAACUCAUCCCCUCCAGCAAGCACUGAUGGACCUCCAGGAGGAAACUGGGGACAAUGGAAAAUAAAGCUUACCUAUUUCUUUCUGCUGCUUUCCUGUGAAGAAAAAAAGAAAUGCAAAUAAUUUAGAAACUCAUCCCCUCCAAAGAGCAUUGAUGGACCCCCAGCAGGAGUUACACCCCCCCCAGGGCAGAAGGGCCACGGGGCCUGGACGAGCUGCAGCGCCCGCACGACCCAGCGGCCCCAUCUCCUGCCAGGGAGAAAGAGAGGAUUUCAGUUCCCUUUAUUCCUCUGCAUCAUCUCCCAUCAGAGAGAUCUUCCGAAGGAAAGGAGGCCCUGCCAGGCCCCCCAAACUGCCAGGGAUUCUUUGCAGGUCAAGGCAAAUUCUUGCUCCAUUUCUGUGCUGGGGCAGAGGAGCAGCUGAUGCUGCUUUAAUGCCAACUUCCUGCCUUGCCUUCUUCUGGGAGAACAAAGCUUUCUUUUCUUGACAGAAGAUAAGACCAUUGGGUUUUUAAGUUCCCUGGCACCAAACAUGUGCCUGAGACACCAGGACUAGACUCUGGUUCCAUCCUGGUGUUUCUCAACCCCCUCAUCCCUCAGGACUAGAGGUGGCUGAGUAGGAUGGCUGCCCAGCCCCUCCCCCAGCCCCCAAACCCAGGAUGGUACCUUUAAUUUUAAAUAGGUAAACAGUGAUAAUAAGGAGAGCAGCCACAGCAACCAGGACCACGCCCAGGGCAAUCCUCCAAGGAU